GUGAGCCGUAUACGCUGAGAGGUGUACGUACGGUUCUGGAGGAGAGUGCAAAAGUGCUUAUCCUAC
rnacentral:ncRNA from 1 species